UACGUAGGUGGCAAGCGUUGUCCGGAAUUAUUGGGCGUAAAGCGCGCGCAGGCGGCCUUUUAAGUCUGAUGUGAAAUCUUGCGGCUCAACCGCAAGCGGCCAUUGGAAACUGGGAGGCUUGAGUACAGAAGAGGAGAGUGGAAUUCCACGUGUAGCGGUGAAAUGCGUAGAUAUGUGGAGGAACACCGGUGGCGAAGGCGACUCUCUGGUCUGUAACUGACGCUGAGGCGCGAAAGCGUGGGGAGCAAACAGG
rnacentral:rRNA from 1 species